rnacentral:rRNA from 1 species
UACGUAGGGUGCAAGCGUUGUCCGGAAUCAUUGGGCGUAAAGCGCGCGUAGGUGGCUUCGUAAGUCCGUUGUGAAAGUCAAAGGCUCAACCUUUGAAUGCCGAUGGAUACUGCGAAGCUAGAGUACGGAAGAGGCGAGUGGAAUUCCUGGUGUAGCGGUGGAAUGCGCAGAUAUCAGGAGGAACACCGAUGGCGAAGGCAGCUUGCUGGGACGGUACUGACGCUGAGACGCGAAAGCGUGGGGAGCAAACAGG